ensembl:lncRNA
CCCCAAUAUUCACGGCACUGAAUGUAAACUGGAAGCUUGUUUAGAGUUGCAGUUCCUUCUCAAACCUGAGAGGCAGUAGAGAUGCGGUAAAGUAGUAUGUAGCCUGCAAAAAAAAAGUCCCGAAGAUGAAGUUUGAGCAAACCUACACGUGAAACAAACUGUCUAUGGAAGCAACCCGUUUCUGGAGCGUCGUCGAGAAAGAUGUGUGUCCAGUGCUGACAAUACAGAGGUUCCUGCAGGCCAUCCACAAGGGGAUAGUGGUGUGGCAGCCCCUUUUCGUCGGCCCGGACCUAUUGAUAUUUCACAGUCAAGAGCAGCAGGACCCACUCAACCCCGGUUAAAGAUAUAUCCAAAAACCAUGCAAGGAG